GUGAUACGGUAAUUUAUACAAACUGUGCUGCGCCUCUCCUUCAGUCUUUACGGUCUUGAUGUAGCUCAUGUGUCCGGAAGUAGCUCCGGUUGUUCGGCUUCUGAUUUUUGACAGGAAAAAAAAGCUCCAGAAAAGAAGCUGAAGAGUUGUAAAAGUUCGGUUCGGCUGGUGUGACGGGGGCCGGGUGGGGUGAUCCGGUGAACCCCGGGGCUGAAACAUGGGCCUCCUGGCCAGGGUACGGAAGGAAUGGUUCAUCGUCGGGAUAGUGCUGGUCAUCUUAUCGGCCAAACUGCAGCCCAGCGUCGGUGUCAGAGGAGGGCCGUUAAAGCCGGAGAUCACCAUCGCGUACGUUGCCGUCUCGCUCAUUUUUUUCAACAGCGGCCUCUCACUGAAAACAGAGGAGUUGACCAGUGCGCUGCUCCAUGUCCGGCUCCACCUGUUCGUUCAGUCCUUCACGCUCGUCUUCUUCCCGCUGGUCGUCUGGCUGCUGCUCAAAGUGCUCGCACUCACCGCCAUCGACCAAUGGCUGCUCAGAGGGUUACAGACGGUGAGCUGCAUGCCCCCUCCGGUCUCUUCGGCUGUUAUUCUCACCAAGGCUGUCGGAGGCAACGAGGCUGCUGCCAUCUUUAACUCGGCGUUUGGAAGCUUCCUGGGAAUCCUAGUGACUCCAGUGCUGCUGCUGCUGUUUCUCGGCUCCUCCUCCUCCGUUCCCUUCUCCUCCAUCUUCUCUCAGCUCUUCAUGACCGUCGUGGUUCCUCUGGUCCUGGGUCAGGUGUGUCGUGGUUUCUUCAGGGAGUACCUGGAGCGGCGGAAGCCUCCGUUUGGCGCGGUCAGCAGCGUCGUCCUUCUCAUGAUCAUCUACACCACCUUCUGCGACACCUUCAGCAACCCCAACAUCGAGCUGGACCCCACCAGCCUGCUGCUGGUCGUCCUCAUCAUUUUCUCCAUCCAGAUCAGCUUCAUGCUGCUCACGUUUGCCUUUUCUACCAGGUCGGGCUCAGGAUUCAGCCCUGCAGACACGGUCGCCAUCAUGUUCUGCUCUACACACAAGUCUCUAACUCUGGGUAUCCCCAUGUUAAAGAUCGUGUUUGAGGGCUAUGAGCAUCUCUCUAUGAUCUCAGUCCCUCUGUUGAUCUACCAUCCGGCUCAGAUUCUGCUCGGCUCCAUCCUCGUGCCGACCAUCCGGAGCUGGAUGACCAGCCGGCAGAAGUCUAGUCUGUUGUUGAGAUAGGGCCGCGUUCCAACACUACUCCUUCCCUGAAUGGUGAAACUGUCAACUCUUCAGCCCGUCUGACGAGGACGAAAUGUUUCGAUGGUUCUGCACCAGUAUAUGUGUGUGUGUUUUUGCUGUGAUGGCGGACUGCGGCGGAAGGAUACAGUAAUUCGUGCCUUAUUACGAACAACCAACAGAGACCUCAGCGCGGUGGAGGAGACGUGGCCCACCAGUCGCUUUGACUUCUUUCUACGACAAUGAAAAACUCCGUCACAUAUAUAUUCUUUUAUAUUUAAAAGAAGCAAAAGUACAAGUUUUAUUUUUAUAUGAAAUACCCCUAAAAAAAAUCCUGCAAAAAGAAGACAAAUUGUGCUUCUUGGUUUGAAAAACAGCUUCUCUCAGCAGGAGCAGGAAGGGGCGGAGUUACUGGGACCAUUCUCUCUUUUCUUUGGUUUUUCUUGCUAUUUUCUAUUUUCUACUUUUUGUAUUUUCUAUCUUUCUUCAAGCUGUUACUGCCAGAAAACUUGGACAAUUGUUACACUUAUGUUCUUUGAUAGAAUCAAGCUAAUGCUGGAUUAUCUGACAUUUAAUAUACAGUAUAAUAAUGA